rnacentral:rRNA from 1 species
UGAGUACAAGAUGCUACGGCAUUGAAGCAGUCUAUGUCAUACUUCCAAGAAAAGCUUGCAAUGUCAUAAACAAAUAAUGCCUGUACCAUAACCGACACAGGUGGGUAGGUAGAGUAUACUAAGGGGCGCGAGAUAACUCUCUCUAAGGAACUCGGCAAAAUGACUCCGUAACUUCGGGAGAAGGAGUACCUUAUUUUAUAAGGUUGCAAUAACAAGGUCCAAGCAACUGUUUACCAAAAACACAGGUCUCCGCUAAGUCGUAAGACGAUGUAUGGGGGCUGACGCCUGCCCAGUGCCAGAAGGUUAAAGAAGUUGGUUAGCAUUAGCGAAGCUGAUAACUGAAGCCCUGGUGAACGGCGGCCGUAACAAUAACGGUCCUAAGGUAGCGAAAUUCCUUGUCAGGUAAGUUCCGACCCGCACGAAAGGCGUAAUGAUUUGGAUACUGUCUCGGAGAGGGGCUCGGUGAAAUAGACUUGUCCGUGAAGAUGCGGACUACCUGCACCUGGACAGAAAGACCCUAUGAAGCUUUACUGUAACUUGAGAUUGAAAUUGGACUUUAUUUGCGCAGUAUAGGUGGGAGACCUCGAAAGUAUUCUUGCGGGAAUAUUGGAGUCAUCAGUGAGAUACCACUCUUAUAAUGUUAGAUUUCUAACUUUGUAUCAUUAUCUGGUCAAAGAACAGUUUCAGGCGGGCAGUUUGACUGGGGCGGUCGCCUCCCAAAUGGUAACGGAGGCGCACAAAGGUUUCCUCUGAACGUGUAGAAAUCGUAUCUAGAGUGUAAAGGCAUAAGGAAGCUUGACUGUGAGACCUACAAGUCGAGCAGGGACGAAAGUCGGUCUUAGUGAUCUGACGGUGCUGAGUGGAAAGGCCGUCACUCAACGGAUAAAAGUUACUCUAAGGAUAACAGGCUGAUCUCCCCCAAGAGUUCACAUCGACGGGGAGGUUUGGCACCUCGAUGUCGGCUCAUCGCAUCCUGGGGCGGUAGUACGUCCCAAGGGUUGGGCUGUUCGCCCAUGAAAGCGGUACGCGAGCUGGGUUCAGAACGUCGUGAGACAGUUCGGUCCAUAUCCGGUGUAGGCGUUAGAAUAUUGAGAGGAGCCUUCUUUAGUACGAGAGGACCGAGAAGGACAUACCUCUGGUGUACCAGUUAUCGUGCCAACGGUAAACGCUGGGUAGCUAUGUAUGGAGAGGAUAACCGCUGAAAGCAUCUAAGUGGGAAGCCCACCUCAAGAUAAG